rnacentral:rRNA from 1 species
AACUAACGCUGGCGGCGUGCCUAACACAUGCAAGUCGUACGAGAAAGUUGGCUUCGGCCGAUGAGUAAAGUGGCGCACGGGUGAGUAAUGCGUGGAUAAUCUGCCCUUUAGUUGGGAAUAACGUACCGAAAGGUGCGCUAAUACCUGAUAAUACUGCAUAACUACUGUUGUGUAGUCAAAGAAGGCCUCUGUUUACAAGCUUUUGCUGAAGGAUGAGUCCGCGUACCAUUAGCUGGUUGGUGGGGUAAUGGCCUACCAAGGCUACGAUGGUUAGCUGGUCUGAGAGGAUGAUCAGCCACACUGGAACUGAGACACGGUCCAGACUCCUACGGGAGGCAGCAGUGAGGAAUAUUGCGCAAGUGGGGCAACCCUGACGCAGCAACGCCGCGUGAGUGAGGAAGGUUUUCGGACCGUAAAGCUCUGUCGAGCGGGAAGAAAUGUAUCAUGGCUAAUAUCCAUGAUACUUGACGGUACCGCUAAAGGAAGACCG